CUGAAUCCCUGAUGAGCAGCCCUGGUCAUCCCAAACCACCCAUUUUUCCUACAGGAGGUUGUUUUUGAUGUUUUUUGGGAAAGCAGCUUUUCACCAAAGCAAAGCUGAGCCCUUUCCACAAUAUUCAAGCGUUUCUUCAUCAGCCCAGUAUGGAAAAGCUGUUUGCUCCCCAAAAUGAGGCACGAGAAGCCAAAUGAGAUGCUUGAAAACCAGGGAGUGCUGUGUCUGGGAUCUCAUUCCCAGCAGAUGUGAUUUUUCCCCUGCAAGCUCCAGUUUGGGAGUUAAAAGAUUAAUAUCUAAAAGCUAGCUGAGAUACUGAAUAAUAUUUGUCGUGUCCCAGGUGCUGUAGGAAAGGAUGGUGCUUGAACCAGGGAAAAAAGGCAGGAAAAUCCCUUUAGGGCAAAUAUAGGGAGCUGGAGGGGUUGUGGCAUGGGGUCCCUGUGUUGGUGCCUGUCCCUGAAUGAGGAGAGAGCUGGGGAAAACAGAGCUGAUGGGUUUGGGGCAUAUCCUGAGUAUAUUUAUUCCUGCAGAAUUCCUGUCUCCAGGACCUGGGCUUCCCCUUCCCUCUGACCCAUCCAGGCUGGUUGCUUUUCCCAGUGGAUGCUUUAAGGACUGUGUGAGUUCAGUCCAUUUAAACCACCAUGGAGAGGCUGUGUUUACACAGAAAGUGUGCGGGGUGACAGCACCAGUAAUUAAAAAUGUUCUCCUAAAUGAGAUUAAAAAAAAAUCACUGGGGUGGAAAGUGCAUGGCUGUUCCUCCUCCAGGAAAAGGUGCAACCUGGAUUUUGGUGGUGCAGGGUUGGGUACCAUCCAUCACCAGCACCCUCCCCUCCCCGGGGUGUCACUGGGGAAGCUGAGGAACAUCACUGGGCUUGUUUUUCCUAAGAAACUCUGAGUUUCCCACAAAUAUGACAAGCCAGGAUGAAGCAGGCCAAUCCCUGCUGAUGGAUUUGGGAUUAUGAAGAGCCAGAAGGACUCCUGAUGGGUGUGGGGCUGAAAUGACCCCAGCACCAACCCUGGAUGAGGACAGCCAGAGGUAGGGAAGCACCCUCCUGAGCACCCAGAGGAGACAUUGGGGAGAAUUUCUCUGCGUUUUUGCUGUUGAUUUUUAGAGCACUCGGCAGCUCUUGUCUCUUUUUCAUCCCUUUCCUCCCGAUUCCCCCCAGAUGAGCAGUAAGACAGUGAAGCCUGGUGUCAGUCCAUGGCUGAGCCAUGGCAUCCAUGGGGACAGAGCAGCCCCGGGCUGAGGUGAGGGCGAUUUAUGGAGUUCCACAGCGGCACAAUCAUCGCUGGGGUCACCUCCGCGGGGCGAGGUGAGGAGGGGGGGGGAUGCUGAGGGGCUUUGUGACCGAGGGGGCUUUUUGGGAAGAGGGAGGAGAAGGUGUGGAAGGCGAUGGGGAGCCUUCCUCGAUGUGCCCAGGGAGGAGGAGGAGGAGGCGAUUCCCGGCAGCCGCGUCUCCGCUGCGGCCACGGCCGGGGCCCCGCUGCCGAGCGGGGAUUUGCAGCUGAACUCUGCUCAGAAAGUCGCUCCCAGCCUUUUCUCAUUUCUUUCUGGAUUUAAGGCAGCUUCCAAAUUCCUGCGCAGCCAAAUCCUGCCUGGGACUGCCAGGAAAGGCGGCCAGCAGCGAGUACGUGCCGUUUCUGCAGCGCUGUUACCCCGCGGGCGAUGAUGUUGGGAUGCAGCUCCGGCCCUCCCGAGAUGUGACCCCGUCCCUUCCCGGGACCCCCUGCCCUGGCUGCUGCCCGGGUGUCGCCUCUCCUUCACCACCACCUUUUUAUAUACCAAAACACCCCAGAUUCCCUAAAUCUUCACCUCUUCACCCAUAACCUCCCAGGCAGCCGGGGAAGGAAAGGCGCUGGCUUGGUGCGCUCCCGAUGGGAUUUAUGAUCCCAGGGAUUUCCUGCGCUGCUCCUUCCCACCACUGACAAACCACACCCGUUUGUUUCGGGGCGCUCCUUCACGUCUCUUUAUUUAUUUUUAUUUUGCUGUCCCUCAGGAAGGUUUUAGGGGACAGCGGCAGACAAAUGAAGCGGCCCCGAGGUCACAGAGAAGGGCAGCGUUUGGUCCCCAUGGGGAAUGUCAGUGCCUGGGGAAAGGGGGAUCGGGAAAACCCUUCAUUCCCCCAUCCCAGGCCCUCGGCACUUGGGGGUUCCAUGGAAUCACCCCAGAGCAGGGUUGAGGACGGUGCAGGGACGGGGCUGUGCUCGCAGCAUCCUCCCGGCCGCGGCGCGGAUGCGGAGCCGGCCCGGGCCAAGCCCACCCGUGGGACGCCUGAUCUGGUCUUUCCACUGGUGACUCAUGGAAAAACCACUUGUUUUGCAGCGCUGGGCGAUCCUGCCUCCCUGCCUCGCUCGUCUGUCUUUUUUUAAAGGAUUGUUGGCAUGAAAACAUCUGGGACCCCGACCUCCCUGCGGAGCUCGCUCACCUGAAGGCGUUUUCCCUGGAUGUGUGCAGGGCUGGCUGUGCAAACCACGCUCCAUCAGCUGCCUGGGAGGCAGCCUGGUCACGCUCCCGGGCUUGAAUUUUUUGGGGAUUAGUAUUUUUGAGUGGCUCUUAUACAACGGCGUUGGAAGCUUGGAGGGUUUCCAUCGGCUCCGUGCGUGUUGGUUUCCACACUCCUGCCAAAUCUCUCCACAAGGCCCCAGUUUCUCCCCUGUCGAGGCAAACGCUUUGGCUAAUUAGCAAAACGUGUCAAAGAAAAUGAUUAAUGUCCCGGGAGGAGGCUGAGCUGCCUUUGUGCCGGCAUUGCCUGACUUCUGCUCUUAAAGGUUUUAUUAAAAGAUAAGGGAGCUCGUGACGGGUGAGCAAAGCAUGUGCUUCCCUGGG